GCAAACUUGGUCAUUUAGAGGAAGUAAAAGUCGUAACAAGGUUUCCGUAGGUGAACCUGCGGAAGGAUCAUUAUUGAUUUUAAAGGAUGUGCUGGCUCCCUUUCUGGGGAGCAAGUGCACUCCCGAAACCAAUAUCCACCUGUGCACCUUUUGUAGGCAAGAGACUACAAGUCCUUUGUCUAUGUUUUAUUACAAACACUUGAGCUAUUUCAAUGCUUCAUACAAUAAUAAUAAUUGUAAUACAACUUUCAACAAUGGAUCUCUUGGUUCUCGCAUCGAUGAAGAACGCAGC
rnacentral:misc_RNA from 1 species